UAUCCGUGCGACUGAUUGAUUUAGUGUAGUUCAGGACCACCAGCACAUCGUAAAUCGACACAAAUCCGUUUUUUUUCCCUCCAGAGAUUGAAAUAAAUAUAACCAAGCACAUGCUACGGUAGAGAAUGACGGUCCCAAAAAAACGUGAGAAAUCUUUUAUUUUUAAUCGCUAUAGAUAUUUUACAAUCAAUGAUUUUUAAAAAGUAAAUAGGAUUUUAACAUUGGGCUGUGACGUCACGAACCAGACGCACCUUGGAGGCAAUUUGACUUAAAAGCUCAAUUGGAAAGUGAAAGUGCAAAAGUACAACUCUGAGAGUGUUUCAAACUCAAACGCCAUUUCAAAGACGGACGAGAAAGAAAAGGGAGUAAAAGAUGGAAUAAAACUGAAAAAAGAACAGAGUAAGUUGGCUAGUUUGGGAUAGAACCCACAUGUGGUGUAAACUGGUCUGAUGUGUUCCAGUCUCCUGAGAUAGGGGGCGCUGUUUCUAAAAUGAGUCACUCAGGAGAGCCAGACACCAAAGGAGGAACCCUCAGCACUAACAGAAAGAGGGCCCAGGUAGAAAGAGCAGGGUCACCUGUACC